GCCAGUGUGGCCUAGUGGUUUGAGUGUUGGGCUACCACUCUGGAGACCAGGGUUCGAAUCCCAGCUCAGCCA